rnacentral:rRNA from 1 species
GGACUACAGGGGUAUCUAAUCCUGUUUGCUCCCCACGCUUUCGCGUCUCAGCGUCAGCAACGAUCCAGAGGGCCGCCUUCGCCGCCGGUAUUCCUCCUGAUAUCUACGCAUUUCACCGCUACACCAGGAAUUCUACCCUCCUCUAUCGCGCUCCAGCUGCCUAGUUUCCGAUGCACUUCCGAGGCUAAGCCCCGGGCUUUCACAUCGGACUUGGGCAACCGCCUACACGCCCUUUACGCCCAGUCAAUCCGAACAACGCUUGCACCCUCCGUCUUACCGCGGCUGCUGGCAC